rnacentral:misc_RNA from 1 species
CUUUGAUCACUGUCUUACCAUGUGCAAGCAAGGUUUUCAAGCAAACAUCUUUUAUCUCUCCUCUCGCUGUUUCUCCAUUCUGAAGCCCACAUGUUUCAAGGAUCAAGCGAGACUCAAGAGCUUCGCGCUCUCUACAACUUCGAGCCCGAAUCGGCGAACAAUGAUAGGAACGGUGCACUACGUGCGCAAACUCCCCAACAAGCUAGCGGCGGUGACAGUGGUGAUGGAGAGAGCGCCAUCAGCGGCGCUGCUAUUUACUCCCCCCGAGAGGAGCAAAGCUAUGAAUCACCGACCUCUCCUGCUGCCUUUGGAACUCGAGGUGAUGUCUCCGUGACUAUCGCAGUCACCCCCGGCGGUGAUACAGUGACGAAAACGAAGACAAAAGUGUCGAAGACUGGUGUGCUGAAAGAGGUCUUUGGGGUCAACAGAAAGAGCACAAAAGGAAUGACGGAGGAGCAGAAGAAAACUGUGAACCUUGAGCAGCGUUGGCAAAAUGCGCUUCUUGAAGAGCAGCGCCUGAAUGACUUAGAGCAGCGUAUUAGCCGAGAGGAGGCCGUCACGGCGGAAUUAGGACAGACUCCCAACUUCCCGCGCAAGUUCCUCUGCAUUCACCCUCUCGUGUACCACAGUUUUUCGACGGUGCCGGAGCACCGACAACUGUUUGUGAAGAUGGCUUUUUGGGACUGGGUUGCUGUAUGUAUUCUCCUCGUAGCCAAUUGUGGCAUAGCAAUAGGUGUCAGCAGCGCUCCCGUUCGCUCCAAAGUUGUAGUUCAUGCCGAUAUUAACAAAGUACAAAACGGCGUGCUUGCAAUUGUGCACCUUACUGGCAUCCCGCUUAGCUUUUUGAUUUGGUACUGGCGAAUUUACCAGGGGUGCUCGACGGGCCGCCCACCACAGCACAUUUUGGCCUUGAGCGGUCUCUUUGUUGCCCUGGCGCACGCCAUUUUCGCCCUCGCCGGCCCCAAAAAUUACGGUUUGUGCGGUAUUGCCCUUGCGAAGUGGAUUCAGGCGACGCGUGAAUCUGGCGUAGUGGCACCUGUGGCAAUCAUGGCAGUGCUCUGGGCCGCGCAAGCCGUCUUUACGGGCUUCAUGAUUUUUAGGGUGUUCGUGUUCUAUCGGAGGGAUCUGGCUGCCCGCCGCGCCGCUCGCCGUUACGGCAUGAAUGUUGUGGGCUGACGACGGACUCUAAGCCUCCAAGUAUACCAGCAUAGACCGACAGCAGGUGAUCCAGGCUAUCUUGCAUCGACAGUGCCGAUGGCGCAGUCUUGACUCGCUGCACGCACGCUGGGCUUGAGUUUCAUUGACUGUCUUUGAUGACUUUGUUCGUGUUCUUGCAGCGUGAGCAAUGCAUACCCGAAGAAAGCGAUCCUGUUCUGCAAUCCGAGUGGAACACCCACCCUUUUUUCGUAUGUGUGUGCUUUCCUCUCCGGGGCAUUUGCCUUCACGCUUUUUUGUUCUAUUUUUGUAUGUAGAGCGACGGUCAUAGAAGGGGGAAGGAAAGCGACGCACGCCAACACUGAAAACAAACAAAAGCAUUAUGUACCUCUUCUUGAGCCCACUCUUCGCCUCCUUUAAUUUUGCUUCUCUGUUUUUUUUUUUGUUUUGGCCUCCUUGAUCUCUCUAG